CAGCCCCUGCUCCCUCCCUCCUGCCGUGGGCCUCUGCCACAGUGGCAGGCUGGCCAGGCCUUUCUGCCUCCGUGGGGCUGGCGUAAAGUGCUGGGUGCCUGGGAGGGAGGCUCAGGCUCGGGGUGGGGUCUGCAGGGAAGCCCGCUGCCCCAGGGGCCCUUAUUUGAGGAUGUAGUUGAUGAAGAGCUGACAAGCCAGGAAGACGCAGAGCAGGAACCAGGUGCGGGGGCUCUGCAGGAGGCCGGGGGCGGGCUGCCCAGCCUGCACCACGGAGCUCAGCAUGGCCGACAGGUGCCUGCAACACAGGGCGGGAGGAGGGCUGGGGCCAGCAUGGCCGCCCUGCCUGACAGUUCCAGGGCCUCUAACCUGCAAGACCUCACAGUCUCCCCGGGCAGCACCCUGGCCCAGGUCUGUGUCGGGCCCUGUAGGUCCCGUCUCUGACAACACAGGAGCUGACGCCCUGGUGGACAGGCCUUUACUCAUGGCCCUGGGACACUCGCUGUCCCAUGUCCCACUCCUGGAACAUUUCUGCCCUUUGGUGUCCUGUCCCUGGUAGGUUUCAGGAGCCAGAGAGGAGCCACAAGGACAGCAGAGCCCAAAUGCUCGCCGGGUGCCUGAGGGGAUCAGCCUCCAGCCUCACCCACUGCUCCAGGUGUUUUGCCAUCAACUCCAUUUUAUAGAGGUGGGGGCUGAGGUGUGACAGGGCAGGGUCCCCAGCCAGGGAGUCCCUCAACCCAGACUGGAGCCCGGCAUGAGCUGGACACUGUUCUGCUCCACCUGUGGUGGCCCAGAGGGUGCCCACCCACCAGGGACACAGAGGGUGGCUCUGGGGCCCUCCUUGCCUGCUCACCUGCCCAGCUGCACCUGCGGGUGCCAAGGAGGGGCUACUCCUAUACUCCCUCCUCUGAGCUGCCAUCUGCCUCCACAAACCUUGGGGUCCUCCCUGGGGCUACUCAGAUUUAGACCUGGGCCCUCAAAAUCUCUGGCCCAGUUUCUGUUAAACUGUGAACUCAUUCUGUUGAGACCCACUGUCUGCAGGGACCCCUCACUGGCUCCCAAGCGCAGCUCCGGAAUAGAGCCGUGUGCCUCCGGCCUGCACAGCUGGCCUCCCCCCACUUGCCCUGGCUGGGGGCCGGCCGCCUGGCCUACCUGUGCAGCUCCUCCUGGGCCUCCCGGAUGGACAGCACGGCCUCCCGCAGUGCCUGCAGCUGCUGUGCCUCCCUCCUGCACCGAGGACAUGGGCUGUCAUCAGCUGCACACCCCAGGCACAGGCAGACACAGGAAGGAAGGGAGAAGCAGGACUCGGGCGUGGAGCCGCUGCUCUCCGUCACCUGGCUGUGGCCAGACGGCUGGUCACUGGCCUUGCGGAGUCGCCGGUCUGGGCCGGACCUCUGCAGGAAGAUGGAGCCAAUGCAGCUGGGAGCCACCUACCACACUCACACUGAUCCCUCGAGGAGCCGUGGCCCGUGUGUGCCAGGAGGAGGUGCUGGAGGAGGUGGCACACAGAGAGCCAAUCCCAUGGCUUUGGAGUCGGACAGAGUGCUUCGGACCUUGCCACCAUGACUGGGCAGCCACAGCCUCUCCCCUCUCAGUGGUAACACAGAGCAGCUGACCCCUCUGCAGGGACACCAGCCGGUCAGCUGGCUCUGCACAUGCUGGGCAUAUGGUGCACGUGGACCAGGCGCCACGCGGCAGAGGCAUCCAGGAGGACUCCAGGUGUCCCCAAGACAGGUCUGUGCC
ensembl:lincRNA